rnacentral:rRNA from 1 species
AACUUCUAUCCUUUUCGGAUUGUUCCGUCCUCUCGUGGGACGUUGUGACGAUUCUUAGGGAUUUCCUGGUAGAAAGUAUUUCUGCCCUUUAUUGGGUGGUUUUGCAAUCUAUCUCUUUUACUGUGAGAAAAACAAAGUGCUCAAAGCAGGCUUUACAGCUUGAAUGAGUUAGCAUGGAAUAAUAAGAUAGGACUUUGUUUCUAUUUUGUUGGCUCUGAGGAACAAAGUAAUGAUUGAUAGGGAUAGUUGGGGGUGCUCGUAUUUAACGGUCAGCGGUGAAAUGCAUGGACCCGUUAAAGACGAACCUAUGCGAAAGCAUU